rnacentral:rRNA from 1 species
CGGAACGGGUGAGUAAUGCGUGACCAACCUGCCCCAUGCUCCAGAAUAGCUCUUGGAAACGGGUGGUAAUGCUGAUGCUCCAACUUGACGCAUGUCUUGUUGGGAAAGUGUUUAGUGGCAUGGGAUGGGGUCGCGUCCUAUCAGCUUGUAGGCGGGGUAAUGGCCCACCUAGGCUUCGACGGGUAGCCGGCCUGAGAGGGCGGACGGCCACAUUGGGACUGAGAUACGGCCCAGACUCCUACGGGAGGCAGCAGCC